rnacentral:rRNA from 1 species
GAUGAACGCUAGCGGCAGGCCUAACACAUGCAAGUCGAGGGAGAAGCCCUUUCGGGGGCAGAAACCGGCGCACGGGUGCGUAACGCGUAUGCAACCUACCUUUCGCAGGGGGAUAGCCCGAAGAAAUUUGGAUUAAUACCCCAUAAUAUUAUUGGAUGGCAUCAUUUGAUAAUUAAAACUGCGGUGGUGAAAGAUGGGCAUGCGUCCUAUUAGCUAGUUGGAGUGGUAACGGCACCCCAAGGCUACGAUAGGUAGGGGUCCUGAGAGGGAGAUCCCCCACACUGGUACUGAGACAGGGACCAGACUCCUACGGGAGGCAGCAGUGAGGAAUAUUGGUCAAUGGUCGGAAGACUGAACCAGCCAUGCCGCGUGCAGGAAGAAUGCCUUAUGGGUUGUAAACUGCUUUUAUAUGGGAAGAAUAAGGUGUACGUGUACAUUGAUGACGGUACCAUAUGAAUAAGCAUCGGCUAACUCCGUG